rnacentral:lncRNA from 1 species
GCCCGCCUAAACUUGAUGAGGAACCUGUUACCGCAUAUCCGGCAGUGGGGCCCAGCUUAGCGUAUCCACCUCCAUCUCCAGGAGGAGUAUAUCCUCCUUAUCCAGUUGACCAUGGAACAGGGCUGUACCCACCACCACCAUCACCUGGAGGAUAUCCUCCACCGCCGCCGCCAGCGGGGUAUGGCGGGUACCCACCUCCAUUGUCUUAUGGCGCGUACCCACCUCCACCACCACCGCCAGGAUAUGGAUAUCCACCCCAGUCCGGGUACGGAUAUCCAGCUGUGCAAAGGCCACCAAAGAAGAACAAUUUCGGUUUAGGAGUAGGAGCUGGAUUAUUAGGUGGAUUUUUGGUCGGCGAUAUGAUUUCUGAUGUUGGAGAUUCUGGUUUCGAUGGUGGAUUUGAUUUUUGAUCCAUUUCUUCCUUUUCUUUUCUUUUCUUUUCAUUUUUUUUCUUACUUGUAAUUAAUCACUUAAUCUUGGAGUAUGAUAUAUGAAUCUUGUUACCUUUUAUAUUAAUUUUCGUUUUCUAAUGGAUAUUUGGUUGUGCGCAUUGGGUUGUUUAUUUAUUCUCGAGAGAGGAAUAAAAGCAUUAGUGAAAUACAUCUCGUUGAGAGUUUGUGGUAGUUUGAAGAUGUUGGGAUCUUUGGAGUUCAAUCAAACAAUAAUCAUCAAUCAAUAAAGGAUUUCAAGCCUAAAUGAAAGAAAAUAAAAUGGAACAUUACAACCCGAUCUCGGCCGAAUCUGGACAGCAACUUCUCCUUGCUCUUAUGGCUGAUUUAGGCUCAGGAACAGCUCCAUGUCAUGCAAAUCACCUUUCACAGAUAGAGAGAGAGAGAGAAAUUGGCAAAGAACCUCAACCUUCUACCAAGUAGCCACCGGACCCACUACCUUCAACCAAGCCAAGGAAGCAAAAAUAGAGAGAGAGAGUCGACUUAAGAAGGGAAGAAACGACCUCUCUGCCAAAAAAUUCUUUUUUUAGACAAUUCAAUUCCAUCUGUGCAAUCAAACGGACUUCUCUAAGAAGUUACAUUUGCAUUGCAAGUUCCUAGUAUUUUGUGAACCAAAUUUGGUCAAAAUAUGACUCUGAAUGUUCUCAACAGAUUCUAGAAGAUACCAAAGACUGCUCCAUUGUUGAAGAAAAUCAAAAACGCCUGUUAAAGCACGCCUUUGCCACUGUCUAAUCACGUGAAAACAUGACUCGUAAACAGUGGAAAAACGGGUUAAUUAUUUAACUUUUUUUCGAUAUGUCACACAAUUUUAAAUUUUAUUUGUCUAAUACCAACUUAACGCAGCUGCCCUAUGUUACAAGUAAAUCUUGUUUGGCCAAUUAUGCAACAACAUCUGAAGCCAACUAAGCUAAAUCGUGCAAGGAAAAUUGCACUAGGAAAAAACCAUUAUUGAAAUCAAUUUAUUAACAUUUAAGAAACCUCACAUUCCAGUCAAAUUCGACUAUUGAGAAACCUAACUUUUAUUUUUCCUUUCAAAGCCUAAUAGUUUCUUUAAUCUUUGAUCACAAACCCUGGUUCCUGUAUGAAUUGGGUGUAAAUUUGUGGACUUCAAUUCUAAGUGUUAAAAAUUAGAAUUAAGCUUGGUGUACAGGCUCUAUUCACAGGUCUCACACAUGACGUGCCUCAUUAAAAAAAUAAUCCACAAAUACCCACCCCGUAUAUGUGUAGCCUGUGGAGGUUCAAUAACGCCAUGUUUGGCACCUAUUUUUAUCAAAAUGUAUUUUUCUCUCUCUUCUUUUCAACCACACAUUCUUUAUUAAAAUAAUAUUACACGUAAAUCAAAAACUUUUUCUUAUUUUUCAACCACACAUUUCCCAUCAACUUACUAUUCAAAAAUGUAUUUUCACAUAAAAAAUUCUACCAAACACCCUCUAAAACUCCCCUGAUAGUGCAGCACAACCCUAAUUAGCUUGUCAUUUUGUUUUGAAGAAUAGGUUUUCAAUAUACAUAGCUGACACGUUGGAGUUCUAUGUGCAUAUUAACCAAAACCUCAAGGCAUUCUUCAAGUCAACCAUAGUUACUUCUUACCUUUGAUAAACGAAGGCACCAGGUAAUGGCGUAACGUGUUUAACACUAACAUAAAUAGUUUAUUCUCUGCGUAUACUUUGAUUCAUCAUUGGCCAUUUCUCUCUCUCUCUCUCUCUCAAGUUAAGUUCUUCAAUUCUAGAAAACCAUAAACAGGGAAGCCUCUUCAAUUUCUUGGAUUUUCUCUCAUCGUUAUGGAUCAUCGGGCGUUGGAAAUUAUUUCUAUGUCCGGUAAAGAUCUCAAUAGAGUCAAUCUCAUCACGAAGAUGGCGGUGUACGCGGUGGUUUCAAUUUCCGGCGGGGACAAAAAAUCGAAGCAGACUACGAAGACGCCGGUGGAUAGAGACGGCGACACCAGCCCCACAUGGAUUUUUCCUAUGAAGUUCACGGUGGAUGAGGUGGCGCUCCGGCAGAACCUCCUAACUCUUGAUUUCAAGCUUGUUUGUGAGCGUAAGUUAGGCGAUAAAGAUAUUGGUGAAGUCCAUGUUCCCAUCAAACAGCUUCUCGAAUCUCCGACCAUUGGCGUUGUCGGUAACUAUGGAAACCAGCAGCGAUUGGUGAGUUAUCAAGUGAGCAAACCUAACGGCCAACCUAAAGGUCAAAUCACCUUUUCUUACCAGUUUGUCGAUAAGGAUGCGCCGCCACCACCAGUUCCUGGCCCGCCUAAACUUGAUGAGGAACCUGUUACCGCAUAUCCGGCAGUGGGGCCCAGCUUAGCGUAUCCACGUCCAUCUCCAGGAGGAGUAUAUCCUCCUUAUCCAGUUGACCAUGGAACAGGGCUGUACCCACCACCACCAUCACCUGGAGGAUAUCCUCCACCGCCGCCGCCAGCGGGGUAUGGCGGGUACCCACCUCCAUUGUCUUAUGGCGCGUACCCACCUCCACCACCACCGCCAGGAUAUGGAUAUCCACCCCAGUCCGGGUACGGAUAUCCAGCUGUGCAAAGGCCACCAAAGAAGAACAAUUUCGGUUUAGGAGUAGGAGCUGGAUUAUUAGGUGGAUUUUUGGUCGGCGAUAUGAUUUCUG